rnacentral:rRNA from 1 species
ACGACCGUACCGCAAACCGACACUGGUGCGCGAGAUGAGUAUUCUAAGGCGCUUGAGAGAACUCAGGAGAAGGAACUCGGCAAAUUGACACCGUAACUUCGGAAGAAGGUGUGCCUUUAGUAGGUGAACCUGUACAAGGGGAGCCCAAUGAGGUUGCAAAAAAUCGGUGGCUGCGACUGUUUAAUAAAAACACAGCACUCUGCAAACACGAAAGUGGACGUAUAGGGUGUGACGCCUGCCCGGUGCUGGAAGAUUAAAUGAUGGGGUGCAAGCUCUUGAUUGAAGUCCCAGUAAACGGCGGCCGUAACAAUAACGGUCCUAAGGUAGCGAAAUUCCUUGUCGGGUAAGUUCCGACCUGCACGAAUGGCGUAACGAUGGCCACACUGUCUCCUCCUGAGACUCAGCGAAGUUGAAAUGUUUGUGAUGAUGCAAUCUCCCCGCGGAAAGACGGAAAGACCCCAUGAACCUUUACUGUAGCUUUGUAUUGGACUUUGAACAGAUCUGUGUAGGAUAGGUGGGAGGCUUUGAAGUGUGGUCGCUAGAUCGCAUGGAGCCAACGUUGAAAUACCACCCUGGUGUGUUUGAGGUUCUAACCUAGGCCCGUAAUCCGGGUCGGGGACAGUGCAUGGUAGGCAGUUUGACUGGGGCGGUCUCCUCCCAAAGCGUAACGGAGGAGUUCGAAGGUACGCUAGGUACGGUCGGACAUCGUGCUAAUAGUGCAAUGGCAUAAGCGUGCUUAACUGCGAGACUGACAAGUCGAGCAGAUGCGAAAGCAGGACAUAGUGAUCCGGUGGUUCUGUAUGGAAGGGCCAUCGCUCAACGGAUAAAAGGUACUCUGGGGAUAACAGGCUGAUACCGCCCAAGAGUUCAUAUCGACGGCGGUGUUUGGCACCUCGAUGUCGGCUCAUCUCAUCCUGGGGCUGUAGCCGGUCCCAAGGGUAUGGCUGUUCGCCAUUUAAAGAGGUACGUGAGCUGGGUUUAAAACGUCGUGAGACAGUUUGGUCCCUAUCUUCCGUGGGCGCUGCAGAUUUGAGGAAGCCUGCUCCUAGUACGAGAGGACCGGAGUGGACACACCUCUGGUGUAUCGGUUGUCACGCCAGUGGCAUUGCCGAGUAGCUAUGUGUGGAAGAGAUAACCGCUGAAAGCAUCUAAGCGGGAAACUCGUUUCAAGAUGAGAUCUGCCGGGGCCUUGAGCCCCCUAAAGAGUCGUUCAAGACCAGGACGUUGAUAGGUCGGGUGUGGAAGCGCAGUAAUGCGUUAAGCUAACCGAUACUAAUUGCUCGUGCGGCUUGACCUA